GAACUCAAGGGAGACUGCCGGUGAUAAACCGGAGGAAGGUGGGGAUGACGUCAAGUCAUCAUGGCCCUUACGGCCAGGGCUACACACGUGCUACAAUGGCGCGUACAGAGGGCUGCAAGCUAGCGAUAGUGAGCGAAUCCCAAAAAGCGCGUCGUAGUCCGGAUCGGAGUCUGCAACUCGACUCCGUGAAGUCGGAAUCGCUAGUAAUCGCGAAUCAGAAUGUCGCGGUGAAUACGUUCCCGGGCCUUGUACACACC
rnacentral:rRNA from 1 species